UCUUGCUGAUCCCUUCUGGGCCUCUGCUCUUCCUCCUUACAGCCCGGCAGCACAGGCAGGACUGGGCACUUGGUAGAAACACAGCCUCUGAGGCCUCACCCAAGACCUAUCGAAUCAGAAUCUGCGUUCUCACAAGAUGCCCAGGUGAUCUGUCUGCCCCCAAAGACUGGGCAGAGAUGGCAGGGGAGGAGGAGGAAGCUGCGUGGGAUGAAACAGGAAGAGGCUAACCACAGGCAGGAGACACGUGUACAAGGGACCCAUCAGAGCUGACAGAAGAAUGGAACAACGUGGAGCCUGGAGCCCAUCACGCCUGGACACCAACAUCCCUGCACCCCUCCUCACUGCCCACUUCCCAACGUAACUGCCUCAAGAUUCUCUAAUCUUGGAAGAUGGGUUUUUUGGAGAUAUUAGUCUGUCAUCUUACCGAUUAUGGCAGCUAAAUCGACUUAAAACUUCCUUUCUCCAUCCCUAACUCGUGAUUGACUGUCUCAGAGUGUGGCGAGCAGAGUGAGCCCAUUACUCGGUAUCAGAAAGAGGCAUACUAAGCAGCUGCCUAUGUGGCCAGGAGUAAAGGAUGCUUGGCGUCCCCUUGGAGCAUGUGUUCUGUGGGGCUCUGAGUGGUGUCACGGGUUCCUAAACUGGGCGAAACAUGGAGAUUUAGGCACCACUCUAGAGAUCGCUCAUUAAAAUACAGUUUUCACCA